AGAGUUUGAUCAUGGCUCAGGACAAACGCUGGCGGCGUGCUUAAUACAUGCAAGUCGAACGGUACCCCUUCGGGGGUAUAGUGGCGGACGGGUGAGUAACACGUAGAUAACCUGCCCUGGAGUGGGGAAUAACAUCUCGAAAGAGAUGCUGAUACCGCAUAAGCUCUCCUUUGUGAGAAGGAGAGGAAACGCUUUUCUUCGGAAGAGUGGCUGCAGGAGGGGUCUGCGGCGGAUUAGCUAGUUGGGGGGGUAAAGGCCCACCAAGGCGACGAUCCGUAGCUGGUCUGAGAGGACGGCCAGCCACACUGGGACUGAGACACGGCCCAGACUCCUACGGGAGGCAGCAGUAAGGAAUAUUCCACAAUGGGCGAAAGCCUGAUGGAGCGACGCCGCGUGAGGGAAGAAGGCCUUCGGGUUGUAAACCUCUUUUCUUUGGGAUGACACACCCCCUCAUACGGGGUCAGGACAGUACCGAAGGAAUAAGCCUCGGCUAACUACGUGCCAGCCGCCGCGGUAAUAC
rnacentral:rRNA from 1 species